CUCCCGGUAGCUCAGCAGGAUAGAGCGUCGGAUUCCUAAUCCGAAGGUCGUGGGUUCGAAUCCCGCCCGGGAGACCA
rnacentral:tRNA from 2 species